CCUACGGGAGGCAGCAGUGGGGAAUUUUGGACAAUGGGGGCAACCCUGAUCCAGCCAUGCCGCGUGAGUGAAGAAGGCCUUCGGGUUGUAAAGCUCUUUCGGCCGGAACGAAAUCGCGCACGUGAAUAACGUGCGUGGAUGACGGUACCGGAGUAAGAAGCACCGGCUAACUACGUGCCAGCAGCCGCGGUAAUACGUAGGGUGCGAGCGUUAAUCGGAAUUACUGGGCGUAAAGCGUGCGCAGGCGGUUCGCUAAGUCAGACGUGAAAGCCCCGGGCUUAACCUGGGAACGGCGUUUGAAACUGGCGGGCUCGAGUACGGCAGAGGGGGGUGGAAUUCCACGUGUAGCAGUGAAAUGCGUAGAUAUGUGGAGGAACACCGAUGGCGAAGGCAGCCCCCUGGGCCGAUACUGACGCUCAUGCACGAAAGCGUGGGGAGCAAACAGGAUUAGAUACCCUGGUAGUCCACGCCCUAAACUAUGUCAACUAGUUGUCGGGGAAGCAAUUCCUUGGUAACGCAGCUAACGCGUGAAGUUGACCGCCUGGGGAUCGGUCGCAAGNUUAAAACUCAAAUGAAUUGACCGGNUGAGAGUGCGACGACGACGACGAGGGAGAGG
rnacentral:rRNA from 1 species